AUUGAACGCUGGCGGCAUGCUUUACACAUGCAAGUCGAGCGGUAACAGGCCUUCGGGUGCUGACGAGUGGCGAACGGGUGAGUAAUGCAUCGGAACGUACCCAGAGGUGGGGGAUAACGCAGCGAAAGCUGUGCUAAUACCGCAUGUGAUCUGAGGAUGAAAGCGGGGGACCGAGCAGCAAUGUUUGGCCUCGCGCCUUUGGAGCGGCCGAUGUCGGAUUAGCUAGUUGGUGGGGUAAAGGCCUACCAAGGCGACGAUCCGUAGCUGGUCUGAGAGGACGACCAGCCACACUGGGACUGAGACACGGCCCAGGCUCCUACGGGAGGCAGCAGUGGGGAAUUUUGGACAAUGGGCGCAAGCCUGAUCCAGCAAUGCCGCGUGCGGGAAGAAGGCCUUCGGGUUGUAAACCGCUUUUGGCAGGAACGAAACGGUGUCCGCUAAUACCGGGCGCUAAUGACGGUACCUGCAGAAUAAGCACCGGCUAACUACGUG
rnacentral:rRNA from 1 species